AAUUUUUUUACAUUAAUGGCAUGCAUGGGCAGUGUUAUGCUGAAUAUAUUUAUGUUGAAAGUCUUGAAAGUGGGUAGAGAAGAAGGUACCUUAAAACAAUGGGGAAAAGUCACAAAGCCUUUGGACAAGCCAUCUGGGCCCAGCGCCUGAAAAAAUUCGCACAACAAAAAUGCUGGACGCCGGACAUGGGCAGCAGGCCCGGUCCGAGACAGCCAAGGGCUGUCCUUGACCUGUAUAACAAGGUCCAAAGAUGCCCACGGCAGUGCGGCAGCCAGCAGCCGCUGACCUUCCGGGGGGUGGCUGCGCUGCAAAGAGGCUGUAACUG
rnacentral:lncRNA from 1 species